GCAUAUGUAUCAAAAGAUGACCUAGUCAGCCAUCAGUGGAAAGAGAGGCCCAUUGGCUGCAAGUUGCUGGUCUCUGGCCCGUCCACACCUUGUCAUUCUGUCCCUGCAGCCUGCACUUGCUUUUCCUGGGUCAAGUGUGUUUCCUGAGGGGCUACAGAAAACACAUUGUCCUAAGUCGGCUUUCUUAUGAAUCCCAGGCAUCCUUUAAAGAAGAGAGGACUAAUCUAUUCAGCACUCAACCUUCAGAGCCUACUUUUCACUUCUGUUCUGCUUGGUUCUGCCUUUGGAACAUGUGAGCAAAGCCUGCAAUGAGGACCAGUAGGAGCACCUGCCUGUGUAUGAAGACAGCCUUCUAGGAAGCCUUCAGUACACCUCAAACACCAGAACCACCCUCAAAAUAUCAGAGAUGCACCAACUCAUAUCGAUGCAGAAUAUGCUGUACUGAUAAAAUUCAGUGGGCUGGGUAGAUUUUAGACCCCUUACUUACCAGCACAGGAAAUCUUGGAAACUUUAGUAUAAUAAUACUAAAGAAAGGAAGCUAUUUGGGCCUCAACUAUGGCUGUGAAUAUACCUUGGGAAUGAAGAAAGGAGGGAGUGGUAGGAGUUCUGGUUAGUUAUUGUAAAUUUGGCAUAGGCUAGAGAAACUCCAGAAGAUGGAACCCCAACUGAGGAGUUCCUCAACUAGACUGGACUGUGGGCAUGUCUGUGUGGGGAGAUAUUUUCUUGAUCAGCGAUUGAUUUGAGAGGGCCCAGCCCACUGUGGGCGAUACCACACAUGUGCAGGUGGUCCUGGGUAAUAUUAAAAAGCAGGUUGAGCAAGGCAUGAGGUACAAACCAGUAAGCAGCCCUCAUUGCUGGUCUCUGCUUCAUCCCUGUCUCCAGCUUCCUGAUUUGAGUUCCUGCCUUAGCUUCCUGAGAUAAUGGACUACACCUUGUAGACCAAAUCAUCCUUUUCCGCCGUAAACUGGUCAGUGUCUCUUUAAGAUAUUAGGUGUACUUGCUAGAGUGCUUUGGUUGGUAAGAGUGAGCUAAAUCCUAUUCAAAAUGACCGUAUAAGCAGAACAGAAAAUCUUUGGGUUUGUAUGUAGAAGUACUACAGUCAUUGCUAAACUAAUGUCUUUCUGCUUCUUAUCCUUGUCUUUUGCAUGAUAGCAGGCCUGUUUGCUGUUGCUAAGUUUAAAAAUGGGGACAACUACAGGCUGAUUCCUUAGUCCAAUAUGCCUACAGCAGUAUUUGGAGGAUAUAAAGCUGUACUUAUCAAUUACUGAAAAAGAAGGGCUCAUCUUAUUUAGCCUAGUCAGGUCCAGAUAGAAGGGCACAGGAAGAUGCGACCUUUGUUCAUAUUAAAGGGCCAGCUGUCUAAGAUCACUUCCUAAUGUUUUUUGUAGGAUGGGGAUUUAUAUAUAAAACUCCCUGAGUUGUUUUACAAAAGUAUACUUUGUGAUGCAACAACUGAAAUAUAGAAAAUUGAAAGUAUAUUGGAUCUUAAUACACUAACCAUAUUACUGAUCUGUUCAAUGGGGGGUACGCUAACAGGCCAGCCCUACCACUACAUUAUAUAUAGAAAAACGUCAUCAUGGGGGAAAAACUGAAAGUGACAGAUAAGAUAGAAACUUCAUGAAAAUGGUGGGGCAGUUUUCAAUUCAGUGAAUGAUUACAAAAAUCUGUAAAUGGUACAGUGAAGUAGUCCCUUUACUUUGAUGAGGGUGAAAGUUUACUUAUGGAAGCUGUUGUUGAUAAAUUAUCAUAAAGUAGUGGAAUAAAAUGAUUUGAAGUUUGAUCCAAAGUUGUGACAAUGACUGUGGACUGAUGUAGCCUGUCACCCACUGAGAACUGGCAGUUCUCCUGGGCACCAUUUCCUGGGCUCAGCUGUGGUUUCUCAUAGACAAAAUGGCACCCAGCAAACCUGAAAUUGCAUUGUAUUCCAAAUAUUCUUCAGUAUUAUGAGUUGUGAAAAUAAGAAUUUAUACAGAGCCGGGUGGUGGUGGCGCACGCCUUUAAUCCCAGCACUUGGGAGGCAGAGGCAGGCGGAUUUCUGAGUUCGAGGCCAGCCUGGUCUACAGAGUGAGUUCCAGGACAGCCAGGACUAUACAGAGAAACCCUGUCUCAAAAAAAAAAAAAAAGAAUUUAUACAGAACCAAGGAAGGGGAGAUACAUGGUUAUAGAGUUUUUGUCUGUUCUUACUUAGGCACGAAUCUCUAUUUGCUAACAUCAUGCCUUGCUAUAGUUUUGAACUUAAUAAUUGCAGAAUUGAAGCUUAUAUCUCAGGACAGGAAUUUCCACUUAUGUUCCAACAUUCCUCCUCUCCUGUGCAAAACCACAGCACUGAGGUCAUCUAAUCCCUUGCUUUUAUGCUUUCCUCCAUAGUCCAAUACUGUCUCUUCUCUCUGGUCUUUUGACCACAGUAUAAAGGGAGAUAUUUGUUUUGGCUCCUUCACUCCCUUUAUUUGUUUUUACUGGUGAUAGGUCAUGCUGGUAAGAAGUGGAAUGCAGAAAACAGAAGCAAAGGAUCUCUAGGCUUUGAUAUAAUAAAGGGUUUGAUCUCAUCCAUUUUCACUAGGUUUUAAAAUACCUUUUUUUUUUUUGCAACUGUUAUACAGUUCUAUAAUUAGUUUAAAAAUUAAAAAUGUUUAAAUUGC